UGGGGAAUAUUGGACAAUGGGCGAAAGCCUGAUCCAGCCAUGCCGCGUGUGUGAAGAAGGUCCUCGGAUUGUAAAGCACUUUAAGUUGGGAGGAAGGGUUGUAGAUUAAUACUCUGCAAUUUUGACGUUACCGACAGAAUAAGCACCGGCUAACUCUGUGCCAGCAGCCGCGGUAAUACAGAGGGUGCAAGCGUUAAUCGGAAUUACUGGGCGUAAAGCGCGCGUAGGUGGUUUGUUAAGUUGGAUGUGAAAUCCCCGGGCUCAACCUGGGAACUGCAUCCAAAACUGGCAAGCUAGAGUAUGGUAGAGGGUGGUGGAAUUUCCUGUGUAGCGGUGAAAUGCGUAGAUAUAGGAAGGAACACCAGUGGCGAAGGCGACCACCUGGACUGAUACUGACACUGAGGUGCGAAAGCGUGGGGAGCAAACAGGAUUAGAUACCCCAGUAGUCCCUGAGCGGGCUGGCAAGGCGCAU
rnacentral:rRNA from 1 species